rnacentral:sRNA from 1 species
GAGCACAUGGGCCCGCGGGCCGGGCGGGCUCGGGGCGGCCGGGACGAGGAGGGGCGACGACGAGCUGCGAGCAAAGAUGUGCCCCGGGACCCCCGGCACCUUCCAGUGGAUUUCCUUGCGGAAAGGAUGUUGGCGGUCCCUGUGACCUGUGGAGACACGGCCAGAUCUGCCCUCCACUGACCAUACUCCCUGGAGCCUUCUCCCGAGGUGCGCGGGUGACCUUGGCACAUACAGCCAUCAUGAUGGUACUUUAAGUGGAGGCUGAAUCAUCUCCCCUUUGAGCUGCUUGGCACGUGGCUCCCUUGGUGUUCCCCUUUUACUGCCAGGACACUGAGAUUUGGAGAGAAUCCUGUUACACCUGGGAUUUAGGCACUUUCAAUCUGAAAAAAUACAUAUCCUUUCAGCACUCUGGACGGACUUGAGAACUGUCCUUACGUGACCUAAAGCUGGAGUAUUUUGAGAUUGGAGAAUUAAGAGCCAGUCUUGGUGCUCUGUGUUCACCUGGUUCAUCUGAGGAGCUGCAUCUACCCUGCCCAUGCCAUAGAUCCUGCCCUGUUUGCUUCUCCUGUUGCUGCUAGUGGACAUGAGAAGGACAGAAUAACGGGCUCCCAGAUUCACAAGCCCCACCAAGAGGAUCACCCCAGGAAUGCUUGGAGGCUGAGGAGUUCACUGAGGCUACUGCAUCUUGAGACUCAGGAUGAAGACCCAGCUUGGGGCUGUCAAAGAGGCCUGAAGAGGCAGAACACCCCAGAGGAGCCUGGGGCCACCACCCAGCAUCACUGUGGGAAAACGGCAGCAGGAAAUGUCCUCUCGCCUGCGUGCUCCACCUCGGUCCACGCCUUCCCUCCUUCUGGAAGCCUUGCCUGACCACUGGCCUGCCCCUUCUAUGGGAAUCACUACUGACCUUGCAGCUUAUUAUAGACUUAUAUGUUUUUUGCAUGUCUGACACCCAUGACUCCACCUGGACCUUAUGGCUCCACCCAGAAGCAAUUCAGCCCAACAGGAGGACAGCUUCAACCCAUUACGAUUUCAUCUCUGCCCCAACCACUCAGCAGCAAGCACCUGUUACCUGUCCAUCCCCACCCCUUCCCCCAAACUGCCUUUGAAAAAUCCCUAACCUAUGAGCUUUGAAUAAGAUGAGUACGAACUUCAUCGCCCAUGUGGCGUGGCCGGCCUCGUGUCUAUUAAAUUCUUUUUCUACUACAA